CUUUUCUGAAAAAAAAAAAAAAAUAGUCAAAGCAUACUGCUCAAGGACAUCUGAGGAGAAAUGUGAUGGACUUCUCCCUCUGAAUACCCAACUGAGUAUGUUGAGCUGGAGCUAUCACGAAUGCUACAAUUUAUGCUGCUGCUGGAGAUGUAUCCCUGCCUUUUCUAGAGUGCAGACCUGAGAAUGCACUGGACAGCAGUGGACUCUGCCAGAACUUACUGGAAAAACACUGGCUAAGAUGGUCUGUGUUUUAUCACUCACUGAGAAAGUGUUACUAGCAAAACCACUGGUGCCUAUUUUCUACUGUGUUUACUACGUCUAGCAAUUUUGCAUUUAAUAGUCUUAUUUUGCACAAAAAUCUUAAAUCAAGAGAUAAUUACCACUCUCACUUCAUCUGAAGUAUAAAAAUACCCGGACUCAAACAUUUAAUACCAGAUGUUUUCAUAUUUGCAACAAGGAACAAUAAUUGCUAUAACUAACUGUGGCUCAUCAGAAAAAGUUUGGCAGUUGAUAUUUAAACUUAUAUAUUUGAUUUACCUUCAAAUCCUUGAAGAAAACUCUGGAUUACCCCUUUCUGAGGUUGCAUAAGGAUAAAUAUUACAACAGACACUCUUCAGUUUUCUUCUACAUUUUCUCAAAUUUUGUAUUCUACAUUACAUACCUAUAUCAUAUCUACAUAUCUAUAUUUAUACAGAAGUCAGGGUGAGAUGCCUACAACAUCAGUGCUAAUUGUCCAGUCAUUGAAUCAUGCCUCAGCUGUCUCAGACCCUGGUUCAUACUCCAGUUUGUGAAAUUCCAAGUGCUGAAGGGAAAUUCUAGUUGCAACUGCUCAGGAGCAAUGAUUUGUGACCAAGGAAUGCUGGGGGCAUGGACCAUGGCUGGGCUGAGGUGCCCUAUGCAAUUGCUGUCAGGUUUGGUGCUGAUGCAGGUAUAUGCAAGGAAUCUGAUUGUCAUGUUUUUCUGUAGACUCCAAGCAGAACCACUCCAAGUAGAACAACAUAUUGCAGUAGGACUCUGCAUUGUUCAUUAAAUGUUUAUUUUAUAUUUAAAGUACAAACAUUCUUAAUUCAUCUUGACAGGUACCAUGAAAAUUCUCCAAGCCUGAGACUUCAGGCUUUCUGCCUAAAGCUCAAACCCAGGAAACAAAUACA